rnacentral:lncRNA from 1 species
CUGGCAGUUGCUGAGUUCGGAAAUUUAACUCUGAAUGUGGAGAGAUUAUUUUCUUGCUCGUAAACCUGGUUUACAUAUUUUCAUUCUUAAUGCUCAGUAAUCUUAAGGAAAGUCACCUGAAAGAAUACUUUUUCACCAAGUACUCUUCUGCGCCUGUUCGAAGGUGUCUGUGUGCUUGUGAAGCGCUCCCUUGUUAGUUCCUUCUGUGAGACUCGGGGGAGACUGAACAGGGAAAUCACCUGCGGGGAAUGAACAGGAAAGCAAUAAGAAGAUUUGGAAAAGAGGCACUGGCUACUGGAGGAAGGGAGAAAUCACCGAGAGAGCGAAAGAUGUAACAGAUGCAGUGACUCAUGCCUAUAAUCCCAGUACUUUGGAAGGUCAAGGCACAAGGAUCCACUGAGGGCAGGAGUCCAAGACCAGCCUGCACAACGUAGCAAGACUCCUUCUCUACAAAAAAAUAAAAUAAAAAUUAGCCAGGCAUGGUGGUGCACUCCUGUAGUCCCAGCUACUCAAGAGGCUGAUGUAGAGGAUCGCAUUAUCCCAGAGGUCAAGGCUGCAGUGAGCCGUGAUCAUGCCUCUGCACUCCAGCCUGGACGAUAGAGCAAGACUUUAUCUCAGAAAACAAAAAUUUAAAAAGAUAUCGGGUAGCUCAUAGAAUUGUUGAGAGGGCUGUAAAACCAGGCUUGAAC